rnacentral:lncRNA from 1 species
GAAGGCUUCACCUCCGGUCGGAAGUGCAUUUGCGGAGCUCUUUCCGGCGCGGGAGAGGAACGCGCGUGCUUCGUUUUGAGCGGAACUGCAGCUUGUGUUGCGCGGCGUGGAACCUCCGGCCUGGGCUCCGGAAGCUGCUCCCGGGCCCGCACGCGGCCGCGGGUCGGGCUGCAGGGGUGCACUGGCCCCGGGACGGGCUGCAGGGGUGCACUGGCCCCGGGACGGGCUGCCGCACUGGACGGGCUGCAGGGGCACUGGCCCCGGGACGCAGGGGUGCACUGGCCCGGGACGGGCUGCAGGGGUGCACUGACCCGGGACGGGCUGCAGGGGUGCACUGACCCCGGGACGGGCUGCAGGGGUGCACUGUGUCCGGGCGAGCACGCCGGCCAUGCACCGGCUCCUCCAGUGUGCCACCGCCACACUCCAGGCCAUGCGCUUAAGCCCAGUUGUUUUACUCCUUUCUCCGCUCCCUCCCCCCGCAGCUAAAAAUAAACUCUCCAGCCCCCAGCGACCGGCCGAAAUCACGCAGUAGCUGCUUUCUGCUCCCGGGAGAGUUCCAGGCGACCCAGGUCACUUGCCUGGAAGAUUGGUGUGUGUACACUGAGUGAAAACCAGGCCCUGCUGCGUGCACUUGGACCUGUCGGGUUUGACUCUGAUAUGUUUUGGGGGUGUUCACCGGCUUAAGACUGCUGUGUGGUGGCUGUAAAUAAAUGGCAUUUGACCAUACUCUGUCUUGAUUGCUUGUCUGACAGGAUCAGAGAUCCACCUGUCUUUGCCUCUCGGGUGCUGGGGUGAAAAGCUCAGGAUUCCCGGCUGUUUUGGG